rnacentral:rRNA from 1 species
GACGGAAGGUGCAAGCGUUGCUCGGAAUCACUGGGCGUAAAGGGUGCGUAGGCGGCCGUGCAAGUCUGGCGUGAAAGCCCCGGGCUCAGCCCGGGAAGUGCGCUCGAAACUGCGCGGCUCGAGUGCCGGAGGGGAGAGUGGAAUUCCUGGUGUAGCGGUGAAAUGCGUAGAUAUCAGGAGGAACACCUGAGGUGAAGACGGGUUGCUGGGCUGACACUGACGCUGAGUGCGCGAAAGCCAGGGGAGCAAACGGG